GUCUUAGCUCAGCGGUAGAGCGCGUCACUAGUAAUGACGAGGUCGUUGGUUCGUACUGUUAACA